UACGUACCGUCCAAACGUUAUUCGGAAUUACUGGGCUUAAAGGGUACGUAGGCGGCGCUGUCAGUCGGGUGUGAAAUCCCACGGCUCAACCGUGGAACUGCGCCCGAUACUGCAGUGCUUGAGGGAGACAGAGGUAAGCGGAACUGAUGGUGGAGCGGUGAAAUGCGUUGAUAUCAUCAGGAACACCAGUGGCGAAAGCGGCUUACUGGGUCUCUUCUGACGCUGAGGUACGAAAGCUAGGGGAGCGAAGGGG
rnacentral:rRNA from 1 species